UACGUAGGUGGCAAGCGUUGUCCGGAUUUACUGGGCGUAAAGAGCGCGCAGGCGGUCGUUCAAGUCGCGUGUGAAAGCCCCGGGCUCAACCUGGGAAGUGCACUCGAAACUGCAGAACUUGAGUCCUGGAGAGGAAGGCGGAAUUCUCGGUGUAGAGGUGAAAUUCGUAGAUAUCGAGAGGAACACCGGUGGCGAAGGCGGCCUUCUGGACGGUGACUGACGCUGAGGCGCGAAAGCGUGGGGAGCAAACAGG
rnacentral:rRNA from 1 species